rnacentral:lncRNA from 1 species
CAAAUCGGAGCCUCGUGGAUGGCAGCAAGGUUUGGCAUGGUGCUUGUGUAGGUUUGGCAUGGUGCUUGUGUUUUAUGUGGGAUCUUUUCGGGCUUAUUUGGUUCGCGAAAAGCAUUUUUUUUUCUAAAAAUAUGAAUAUUGGGAAACAAAUUCAUAAGAAGAUAAUGCUUACGAAAAUAUUUUUGCCAUGUUUGAUUGGUCAUUAGAAAUGAACAAAUUUUCAAAAUGUUUAUGUUUGGAAAAAGUUAUUUAUAAUUUCUAUUAUAUUUUUAAUAAAAAUUUACUUUUUAAUAUUUUUAAUGCUUCUUUAAUAUUUAAAGUUUUUUUUGGGGUUUGGAAAAAGUUAUUUAUAAUUUCUAUUAUAUUUUCAGCUGAGUAGACAACAUAAUAGAAAUCGAGCAGUUAAGCAGCUGUAGAAAUAGAAAAGCAAAAAAAAAUUAAACAAAUGAAUGGUACAACUUUAGCUCAACAAAAUUAAGUUAUUUAUUUGCUCAAGUAUCAAUGUCGAACCCUAUUUAUCUGUUUGGUAGAGUAGGUAAUUUUUUUAUUUUAUGUUAGGUUUUUGUGUACUCAAGUACCGUUGUCGCGUUCUAUUUAUCUGUUUGGUAGGAUAGGUAAUUUUUUUAUUGUUUGGUAGGAUAGGUAAUUUUUUUAUUUUG